rnacentral:rRNA from 1 species
UACGUAGGGUGCAAGCGUUAAUCGGAAUUACUGGGCGUAAAGCGUGCGCAGGCGGUUAUGUAAGACAGAUGUGAAAUCCCCGGGCUCAACCUGGGAACUGCAUUCGAGACUGCAUUGCUAGAGUAUGGGAGAGGGAAGUGGAAUUUCCGGUGUAGCGGUGAAAUGCGUAGAUAUCGGAAGGAACAUCAGUGGCGAAAGCGACUUCCUGGACCAAUACUGACGCUCAUGUGCGAAAGCGUGGGGAGCAAACAGG